UCUGUGGUGAUGAUCUGCGCAGGGGUACGGACCUCAGCCAAUGAUGGGGGCUGAGUGCUGCUGCUGAGCUCUGAUUGGAGGACGUGUGGUUCACCAACAGAGUGGCAGCAGCAUGAAAUAGACGCCACACUGAACAGA